AGCGAACGCUAGCGGCGGGCCUAACACAUGCAAGUCGAGCGGGGAGCAAUCCCAGCGGCGAACGGGUGAGUAACACGUAGGUAAUGUGCCUUUUGGUGGGGAAUAACCGUGGGAAACCAUGGCUAAUACCGCAUAUCGUGCUUCGGCAUGAAAGCUUCUGAGGCAACUCGGGGGCGCCAGUUGAGCAGCCUGCGUCCCAUUAUUUAGUCCUAGUUGGUAGGGUAAUGGCCUACCAAGGGUACGAUGGGUAGCUGGUCUGAGAGGAUGAUCAGCCACACUGGGACUGAGAUACGGCCCAGACUCCUACGGGAGGCAGCAGUGGGGAAUAUUGCACAAUGGGCGCAAGCCUGAUGCAGCGACGCCGCGUGAGGGAUGACGGCCUUCGGUUGUAAACCGUCUUCAAUAGGACGAAGACGCAAGUGACGGUACCGUACUAGAAGAAG
rnacentral:rRNA from 1 species